UGCAGAAACUUUCUCUAACGGCCCAACUUGAGUUCCUGAUCAACCUUUGACAAUGCAGACCAGCUGGCUUUCUAUCCUUGUCCUUUCAGGAAUGAUCUUACUUUGUGUAGGAGAAAAAUUCUCAGAUACAUCAUGUCGUGUCAAGGGUGCAGCAUGUAUGAAGAAGAAGCUGUGUGGUGACUGGAAAGAUCUUGGAAAAUGUGGGCUUACAGAAAGGUGCUGUAAACCUGGUGGUGGCGGCGGCGGCGGAGAAGAAUGAAGGAAAAUGAAUAUGCUUCUUUGCACACCGGUUGCGACCUUUGUGAACGCCUGUCAUUUGAAACCCAAAGGAAAUGUAUCGCUGGUGUAUUGAGCUUAAACCUCACGAAUCAACCAAUCAAGACAUUCUUCUCCUUUAUAAGAUUGGAAAUGAUUUGAAUAAAUACCUGAUUGAUUGCAAGA